GACGAACGCUGGCGGCGUGCUUAACACAUGCAAGUCGAGCGAGGCCCACCUUUCGGGGUGGUGUCCUAGCGGCGAACGGGUGAGUAACACGUGGGUAACCUGCCCUCAGCUCUGGGAUAACUCCAAGAAAUUGGGGCUAAUACCGGAUAUGACUGCUGACCGCAUGGUCUGGUGGUGGAAAGAUUUAUCGGCUGGGGAUGGGCCCGCGGCCUAUCAGCUUGUUGGUGGGGUAGUGGCCUACCAAGGCGACGACGGGUAGCCGGCCUGAGAGGGUGACCGGCCACACUGGGACUGAGACACGGCCCAGACUCCUACGGGAGGCAGCAGUGGGGAAUAUUGCGCAAUGGGCGAAAGCCUGACGCAGCGACGCCGCGUGGGGAUGACGGCCUC
rnacentral:rRNA from 1 species